UACGGAGGGGGCUAGCGUUGUUCGGAAUUACUGGGCGUAAAGCGCACGUAGGCGGACUGUUAAGUCGGGGGUGAAAUCCUGGGGCUCAACCUCAGAAUUGCCUCCGAUACUGGCAGUCUCGAGUGCGGGAGAAGUGAGUGGAAUUCCCAGUGUAGAGGUGAAAUUCGUAGAUAUUGGGAAGAACACCAGUGGCGAAGGCGGCUCACUGGCCCGUAACUGACGCUGAGGUGCGAAAGCGUGGGGAGCAAACAGG
rnacentral:rRNA from 1 species